rnacentral:rRNA from 1 species
UACGAAGGAGGCUAGCGUUGCUCGGAAUUACUGGGCGUAAAGCGCACGUAGGCGGUCUUUUAAGUCGGGGGUGAAAUCCUGGAGCUCAACUCCAGAACUGCCUUCGAUACUGGAAGACUUGAGUCCGGGAGAGGUGAGUGGAACUGCGAGUGUAGAGGUGAAAUUCGCAGAUAUCAGGAGGAACACCAAUGGCGAAGGCAGCUCGCUGGGACGGUACUGACGCUGAGACGCGAAAGCGUGGGGAGCAAACAGG